GUGGUGAUUAAAUGAUAUGGAGACAAUGGUUAUUUAUAAAUUGUGCUCUAUUCUUAUGACAGUAUUAGGAGGUUUUGAAAAAGAAUAUGAUGGUCAGGAAAGCCAACUGCUAAGGAAGAUAUUCUGUGAAAACGGGCAAUUCUGAAGGAGAAACUCAUUUCUUGCAAGCACAGGCCAAACUGCUUAAAAUUGAACCCAUUAUUUACACAGCUACAAAGAGCCUCAAAGGAAACGGAAUAUAUAGCUUUGAAAAGCCUCCACUGUCUAAGUCAGGGCUCUACUAGGAAAAAAAAAAAAGAUCCUGGAGAUUUCUAUCUUCUAUGUAGGAAUAUUUGACUGGCUGAGCCUGAAACUCAUGUGCUCCUUACAUCAUCUGAAUCUUCCUGGCCAGGAAGAACAGUCCUCUUCACUUUGAGUGAGCAGAGUGGCCUCUUUUCUCCUAAAGGCGUACCCUUACUGGAGAUUCUUGUUCUCUUUGGAUUCUAAAUUUUUACCCCUAGUGUUUCCAGCUUGGUAACCACAGCAAAGUCUUUGCAGAACCGGAGCUCUGAGAGGAAUAGCCCACAUGCUGAAAGAAUUUCAGGACCUAACCAAAAGAAUUCAUCUGCCGUUGGAAAAGGCCUCUGCCACAGAGCAUCAGUCACCUACAAUGAAUUUGGCUGUUGACCAACGGCAAGAGAUUAACCAGAAAGUCUCCCUAAAUCAAAAUUGGAAAAGAAAGAAGAAAGCUGAGUCAGAACAGAGUGACAAACUCAAUAACCAGUGAAGCAACAAGAAGUUCAAAUAUGCUAAUCCAGGUGGCGGAAAAGUUCUGACAUUCCCAGGCCUGGGGCUUGAAGCAUGAGAGUUCUGGAAAGCUCUCCAGCGACUUGGAUGGACCCCUCAUGGCACACCUCAUGGCCAAAAGGAACCAUGUGGGAGAGUGAGGUUUUUUGGUUUUCUACUCUGUGUCAUCAGAGUCUAGCAUCACCUAUGGAGUGGUAGCAUGGCUCAAAUGCUGUCCUCUUUCACUAGGCAAGAGAGAAAUAGAAGAGUGGGGUUGGGGGGAACAAAGCUCUCACCUGUGAGAAUUGAAGAUUCGUUAAUGGCUGCAUUAGAACUGGACUCGAGUCUAACAGGAACCGUGUGUAUGCAUAUGCAUCAUUUUGCACAAGUUCAGAAGGGGUGAUCAUUUCUAGGAAGUAGCGUGAGCAAAAUAAAUACAGAUUGAGAUAACUGUUCCGUGAGGGGCAGGGAAGAAAUUGGUAUGAUGGGAAAACAACAACACAUCGUUAAUUUAAAUGGGUAUGUUGGUAACAAAUAUUACUUUGCAGUCAUUUCUUUUUCUAGUUCAGAUGUAGCAUCAUGGGAUUUGAGACCCAAUGAUUCCCACAUUCUAAAUGUUUACAGGCUAAAAUAGUUUAAGGAAAUUCACACACUUUUCAUGCUACCGUGUAUCGAUUCCCAUCUCAAUGAAAGGUGCA